ACUUGUAGCAGAUGCCUUCGGUUCCCUCGUCCCUGCAGGCUUGAAGGUAGUGCCCUGGGCACUGAUUCCCCGAGCGAGCAGGCCACGGUGCACACGCUCAGUUUUUGGGUGGAACACCCCCAGGACACGACAAGAUCAUCGGGACUCUGGGGAAAGUGAUAUCACGGAGGCCUAAAGUCGUUGACUUCUCAGCUCCAGUUUCCACGACCCCUCGGAAGCGGCCUUGCCGUAGUAGAACCACAGGGUGACACAGCCUACUCCACAGACUGCAGGGGAAGGGGCCGGUCAAAAGCCAGAAGUCCCGCCUUCUCUACGAAGCGGUCCAGAAAACGACUCUCAGUCUAUCAUUGGUCCAGCGUCCCUUUGGCCCACCCACUAAUGCUCUUCUGGGUUUUCAUUGGGCAGAGAAAGGUCUUCCUUUCGCUCGAUUAGUAAUGUAUAUCCGUUUCCGUCACGAUCACCGUGGCAACCACAAAAAACGAUGCCGUGAUGGUUUCUGGGAAACAGUGUGCCUUUGAGCACCCUGAGCCAAUGAAACUUCAGAGGUAUGGUUUAAAUCUUGAGGGCAGUCGUGGAAGGGGCGGGACUUCUGGUCCCCACGCGGGUCCCGUGUUGCCUUCUUUAGGUAGCUCGUUCUCCUCUCAGCCCCUGGCGCUCCGCUAGAAGGAACGGACAAAGAGUGUCAGGACGUAGUAGAACCUGCGCCAAGAGGCUCCGUUCCCGUGGUCCCCGUAGGUUUCUCAAGGUAGGAAGCUCGAGAGCCUGAGGGCCGAUACCCAUUAUUACCCGAUAUUCCGUUGUCAUUAAGCCAAUGGAAGUGUGAAGGUUAGGCUAACCCGAAAGGAUCUGCCCAGCCCAGAGUUUGUACGCUCACGGACCCAAACUACAGUGAAGAGAGAGUGCCCAAGAUCUAGCGCAGAGAGAUCUGGCAUCUCAAGUUCCUGGAGUCUUGUAGGACAUGAUAUCCAAAACUGUAAGGAUCUGAAAACUGCUGAAGGACUCAGAUAGUAUGCAAAGUCAAAGAGCAUUUAUUCUGCAGAUACAACCAGCGUGCUGAGGUCAACCAUUUUUGAAAUUGUGAACCCAGCAAAGGUGUGCAGGCCUUAUAGGGAACUCUAGAAGGAUUAGGUAAUCUAAAAUUUAAUUGGUGCGUGCUAGGGGGUCACAGGUGGUCAGUGGUCUGUAUUCCUAUGUCAUGAACGCUUAACCAUUGGAUGAGACAGCACAGAUGGCCCAUCCUGAGAAAAGAUAGUUCCCCGUUUUUUUGUGAUGAUCCCCAGGGUAUUCUUCCGGAGGGGGUUUUAUGGUCUGGAUUUCAUGGUCUUUCCCUGGAGCUGGUGUCUUAUGGCCUAGUUUCUGGGACUUAUGGUCUGUCUUGGAGCCUUACGACCUUUUUUUUUUUUUUUUUUUUAAUUAGGGCCUGGUCCUUAAAUGGAGAUAAAUGGGGUCCAUAAAUGGAGGCAAAUGG
rnacentral:lncRNA from 1 species